rnacentral:misc_RNA from 1 species
AUGGCUCCGUGCUCGUCUACCAAAUGGUCCACAGGCAAUCCGCGUCACAUGAUGUGGAGUGGGAAGGUGCCCAAGAGGCUGGUUCUUGUGCUACCUACCUUUCUAAGGGAAGCAAGCUACUUGACGGUUAGCCUUUAUCUAGCGCCUUGUGAAGGGCACAGAAGGACAGCGAAGCACCCCCCAUGUUCUACCGAGCCUUCAUCAGUCGCAUGGCUCGUACGGACAUGCAAUUCUCUUGGACCCAGUGCACACCACGGACAAGGACUUGGUCCAAAUCCUACGAGAAAACUUCAAUAUAAUGUAUGACAGUUGCUCUCGCCCCAUGACUGCCUUGGUGGUGUAAGGGCGACGAGCGGAGGAUUGCUACCUGGUGAUCUGCCCAGUAGUCAUAUGCUUGUCUC